AUACAGAUCACCUGGGGAUCCUCUUAAAAUGUAGAUUCUAACCUCUUGGGUCUGGGGUGAGGCCAGGAGUCUGCAUUUUUAACAAGCUCCCAGGUGGUGCCAGU
rnacentral:pre_miRNA from 1 species